CAAAACAUGUCUUUUUGGUAAUAAUUUAAAGUCUAAUCUGCCCACUGAUUUAAAUUAAAGGGCUGCAGUAUAUAUGACUGUACAAAGGUAGCAUAAUCAUUAGUUUUUUAAUUGAAAACUUGUAUGAAGGAUUUGAUGAAAUAUAAACUGUCUCUUAUUUAAAAUUAAAAAUUUAUUUUUUAGUUAAAAAGCUAAAAUAAUUUUAAAAGACGAGAAGACCCUAUAGAGUUUUAUAUUAAAUUAUUUUAUAAUUAUUUAUAUAAUUAAAAAUUAAAAAUGAAUUUAAUAUUUUAUUGGGGUGAUAGAAAAAUUAAAAAAACUUUUUUUAAAUUAUUAACAUAGAUAUAUGAAUAAAUGAUCCAUAAUUAAUGAUUAUAAGAAAAAAUUACCUUAGGGAUAACAGCGUAAUAUUUUUUUUUAGUUCAUAUAAAAAAAAAAGUUUGCGACCUCGAUGUUGGAUUAAGAUAAAAUUUAAAUGCAAAAGUUUAAAAGUUUUGAUCUGUUCGAUCAUUAAAAUCUUACAUGAUCUGAGUU
rnacentral:rRNA from 1 species